rnacentral:rRNA from 1 species
ACCCUCGGGUGGACAGGGAGACAGGUGGUGCAUGGUUGUCGUCAGCUCGUGUCGUGAGAUGUUGGGUUAAGUCCCGCAACGAGCGCAACCCCUACGUUUAGUUGCUAACAGGUGAAGCUGAGCACUCUAGACGAACUGCCGUUGACAAACGGAGGAAGGUGGGAUGACGUCAAAUCAUCAUGCCCCUUAUGUUCUGGGCUACACACGUGCUACAAUGGCCGGUACAGACGGAGGCGAAGCCGCGAGGCGGAGCAAAUCCGAAAAAGCCGGUCUCAGUUCGGAUUGCAGGCUGCAAUUCGCCUGCAUGAAGUCGGAAUCGCUAGUAAUCGCAGGUCAGCAUACUGCGGUGAAUACGUUCCCGGGCCUU